CAGCGGCCAAGGUCAGGAAGAGGGAGGUAGGCUAAGAUAACCCUCCACAGCUCCACGGGGAGGCUGCCCACCUCCAUGGCAGCAGCAGAGACACCGGCUGGGGAGCAGCGUGAUGGGAGGCACACCUGGAAACACACAGAUAUACUGGCACUGUGUUCAUCCAAACAGGCCCAGGUUUCACACUGAGUAGGAGUUGAAGACGAGCCAUGAUGACUGCUGCAGAUGUGAUGUUCCAAUGGAGUUGAGACGGUCGCCUCCAGUUUACGGCAACACUCGGCGGAACGACCAGGGAGCCUGAGCUGUCCGACCGACUCUGUUACGUGGGCAGCUUUUUGAGCGAGGAGCAGUGUGUGGGGAUGAUGCCAUGCUCAGAGCACCUCAGUGAUAACUUGGCAGCUGGUGGAUUCGAACCUGCAACCUUCCGGACCCACUGUAUAGGUACAUGACUGUAUAGGUGUAUGUACUUGUUUGUGUCAAAAUUUAUUUAAAUUAUUUCUCUUACUUUUCAGUUCAAUAAUGGUGAUGUUUCUGUAU